rnacentral:rRNA from 1 species
AACGUAGGUGGCAAGCGUUAUCCGGAUUUACUGGGCGUAAAGCAUGUGCAGACGGGUUGGUAAGUGGUGUAUGAAAGCGUCCGGCUUAACCGGGCAAGCGUAGGCCAGACUGCCAGUCUUGAGAGUGGGAGAGGGAUGUGGAAUUCCGGGUGUAGUGGUGAAAUGCGUAGAGAUCCGGAGGAACCCCAGAGGCGAAGGCGGCGUCCUGGCCUGUUCUUGACGCUGAGGCGCGAAAGCUAGGGGAGCAAACGGG